UACGUAGGGUGCAAGCGUUAAUCGGAAUUACUGGGCCUAAAGUGUGCGCAGGCGGCAGAGCAAGUCGAGUGUGAAAGCCCCGGGCUUAACUUGGGAAUUGCGCUCGAAACUACUUUGCUGGAGUGUGGCAGAGGAAGGUGGAAUUCCACGUGUAGCGGUGAAAUGCGUAGAGAUGUGGAGGAACACCAAUGGCGAAGGCAGCCUUCUGGGCCAACACUGACGCUCAUGCACGAAAGCGUGGGGAGCAAACAGG
rnacentral:rRNA from 1 species